rnacentral:rRNA from 1 species
AUUGAACGCUGGCGGCAGGCUUAACACAUGCAAGUCGAGCGAGCGGCGGACGGGUGAGUAAUGUCUGGGCAACUGCCUGAUGUAGGGGGAUAACUACUGGAAACGGUAGCUAAUCCCGCAUACCAUCAGAUGUGCCCAGAUGGGAUUAGCUAGUAGGUGGGGUAAUGGCUCACCUAGGCGACUAUCCCUAGCUGGUCUGAGAGGAUGACCAGCCACACUGGAACGGAGACACGGUCCAGACUCCUACGGGAGGCAGCAGUGGGGAAUAGUGCACAAUGGGCGCAAGCCGGAUGCAGCCAUGCCGCGGGUGGGAAGAAGGCCUUCGGGUUGUAAAGCACUUUCAGCGAGGAGGCGUUACUCGCAGAAGAAGCACCGGCUAACUCCGUGCCAGCAGCCGCGGUAAUAC